AACGAACAUUAAAAUGCAUUGCAUAAGUGGAAGCUGCUUUGCAAAAAUGUGUCAGGCAAAAAUGCAUAUAUCAAGUGAAACCUGCACUAAAAUGCUGGUGAAUUUUCAUGCGUUUUUUUUUUAAACAGGAAACUGAUGUGGAAAUGUGGCAAACUGAAUUUAAGAAUGGCAGAAUGGCAAAAUGAGAUAAACCAAAAUGGACAGAUCUGCCCAUCCCUAGCUGCUUAUCCCAAGACAUGCCUCAUUGCUGGAUUCUUAUGCUGACUGCAUACCAGAGGUGGACUCCCUGCCACUGUUGACUUUUGGAAGCUUGUGGACUGAUGCUCAGGAAGACCAAUGGUUGGCUAGGUGACCUUGUUACCUUUUGGAGAAAAGCCUGUGCAUGCGUACUCAGAGUCCCCACUGGGUUGUGUUCUUGGCCUAACAACCCCAGCCUUACGCAUGUUGAUUUGGAAACAACUUUGCGGAGAAACCAACAUAUUGGGACGUCGGCUGUAGGCUGCUGGCAUCUGAAAAUGUAGGCUGAUUAUUUUACAUUGUCUCUGAAAACUCACAGGGGCCACUGUUAAUGCUUGUUG